rnacentral:lncRNA from 1 species
UUUUGUAGACGAGAGAAUAGUUUGCUGAGACAAUCAGAUAGUUUGGUCAACUCUUUCAUAUGAUUAAGUAUUCCCUCUGAUCCUUUUCUUUUUCCCUCUCUUUUGUUGGUUGUUUUGUUAUAUGUUCUGCAGGUGUAUUUUGGCUGGACUAUUUAUUAAAUCAGGCUUUACCCAGGUUGAAAUGGUUGAUACAACAAUCUUUAAUGGUGUGGCAAGCAUGUUUAGCUGCAGGUGUGAAACUGAUCCUGAAAGUAAACAUCUUUCAGAGCUAAAGGUCAUUACUGGUCAUUCCUUUUAUAAUCAAAUUCAGCUUUGACAUUGUUGUGCCGGCUGUUAAUUUACCUGUAUUUCUUUAUAUUUCAAUAGAUUUCUC